rnacentral:lncRNA from 1 species
UUUUUGCAUUAAACAUGUCCAUCCUCUUCCUAUAAAUACCAUGGCAGCAACCUCAUUCAAAUCAUCCAGAAAUUAACCAUUCUCCAAGCCUUUCCUUGCCUCUCCUACAUAUCUAAACCCCUUCCCAUCCAUUCCUCCAAAUAACCAACCCUUCAACAUCAUUCCAACCUUGUUGUUGCGGCAAGGAGUAGGAGAAAAGUCCUUGGACGCACUUGCUAUCCAACAUGGAUCGUUGGAACGUUUAGGUGCUUUCUUCCCUUUGUUUUUCAAUGUUUAAAUUUGUUUAUCUUUGUUUUGUAAUAAUGAGGAACUAAACCCCCCUUGGCUAGGGGGGGAUUCGAAAUACAUGUUUAUGCUUGCGUUAUGAUUUGAUUACUUCUAAUUGCGUUUCAUAAGUUGUGAAUUCAAUUUACUUAUCUAUGUGAAUUACAUUGAUUUGUGUGUGUUGGUUGAGAGUGCACGCUUAAUUAUCAUGCAUAAAUUGAAUGCUAGGAUAUAAGGAAAUUUCACCUAAUCGUUAUGGAAUUAUAUUCACAAGUAGUAAAGGUUGAUGAUCUCAAUCGCGUUAAGUAAAUUCUUG